GAUGAACGCUGGCGGCGUGCCUAACACAUGCAAGUCGAACGGAAAGACCCUGAUCUUGCGGGUUGCACGAUAGCCGAACGGGUGAGAAUAACGUGUGUAUCAUCUCCCUGUAUUACUGAUAUCACUAGGAAAAUGGGGCUCUAAUAGGAUAGAAUAUCUUGCACCACGUGGGGGGUUGGUAAGAUUCGGUGGUUGGGGAUGGACUCGAGGGUUAUCGGCUUGAUGGUGGGGUAGUGGCUUACAAAGGCUUUGAAGGAUAGCCGGCCUGGGAGGGUGACCGGCCACAAUGGGACUGAGAUACGGCCCAGACGCCUACGGGAGGCAGCGGUGGAGAGUAUUGCGCAAUGAGGGGAAGCCUGAUGCGGCGGCGCCGCGUGCGGGAUGACGGGCUACGAGGUAUAAACCGAUGUCGCCUGAGACGAGGCGGUAGUGACGGUAAUGGGUAAAGAAGCAACGGCUAACUACGUG
rnacentral:rRNA from 1 species